rnacentral:lncRNA from 1 species
UUUCAUUGCAUCACUUGAUAAUAACUCUUUAACAAACUUGUCCACAUGAGACAUGGAAGCUUCAUAGUUUUUUCCUCCAAAUUCUUGACAGUGUAAAGCCAUGAAGUGGGGCUUGUGUGCAUGAACAACCUGGUAAAACUCCCGAAGCCAAUUCUUCUGCAAGUUUUCUGGGUCGUCAAAGAGGGACCCGACGUUGGCCGUCACCAGCAGCACCCCGGCGCCGGCCGCGGCCCCCUUCACCGCCAUGGCGCCGGGCGGGCGGGCGGAAGCGCGGAACGGCGCUGCGGGGAGCCCGGGGGCGGGCACGGGGCGCUGCGGGGCGCGGGCGGCGGGGGGAGCCGCGGGCAACCCGCGGACAUCCGCGCCGCGGCGGGGCCGGGCCGGAGCGCCCUGCGGCUGUGCGGGCCGCGCCGCUCCGCGCUCAGCGCUCACCCGCCGCCGCCGCGCUGCUGCCGGGACGGCUCCCGCCGGCGGAGGCUGGCGCCGGGCCGCGGCGCAUGGCAGGUCGGCGGGGCGGGGCGGGGGGGGGCGGGGCGGCCGCGGCGGGACGGGCCGAGCCGGGCUGGGACGGGCGCUGAGCUCGGCUGCCGCUCCCGG